rnacentral:lncRNA from 1 species
CAGCCUUCAAGUUCUAAACCUUAUCUAGUCUAGAUUAAAUAAAUAUCACAUGUCACAAAGUAAAGCGAAGCAAUUGGUCUUUCCUUGUGCUUUCUAUUGGAACAGUCUCUUUCUAUCUGUGUUCCCGUAUUAUUCAGUUGCCACAUUUCGGUUCUUUAAUUGUCAACAAGUCCAAGUUUUUGCAGCCACUUUGAUGCAUUUGGAUUUAGCAAUUUCAGUUAUUACGUACACGAGUCUUUCUUGAUUAUAUUGCUUUCAAUAUGGUUAUCAUAUCUACUCACAGUCAUCUCCCUUUUGCUGAAUAGAAUUGAGAAGCUGAAGCGUGGUUUUGGUAUGCACGUCCCUGAAGAGUUUAGGUAGCUGGAUAUAAUGCGGGGUUCCUUCAUUUCUAAUAAUCAGUUUAAUCACCUCCCUCGGAGCUACCUAUUGGAGGGCAAGUUUGUGAUUUCUACUAAACUUGACAUGGACGCUUUUUAAGUAGUACUUGGAGUGUUGGUGAGCAGCAGAUGUAGCACUCAAGCUGUGAUCACAUGAUCUUGUGGUUGUACUAUUGAUGACCUUGGUCCUACUAAUUUAGUUUAUUUGCUGAAAGCUAUGUUUGGAAAUGAUGCAAUCUGCGAGGCAACACUAAUUUCUGUGCAGCCUGUACUUAUGAGUGUUAUUGUCUUGAUGUAUUUUUCUCACCACGGGAAGCCUUAGGUAUACGUACAAUUAUCGCCUUGUAAUAUGUUCGUAGUGCUAUACUUCUCUAAUAUAUUUAUAUAUGUAAAUAUAUAUGUUACUCUUGUAUCAUCUCUUCCUAGUAUCAUAUGGUGCUUUGCUUCCGUGAGCUUGUGUAUUAGAAGUUGUUAAAUAUUGUGUAUUAGAAGUUGUUAAAUAUUCAUUCGUGGCGGCCAUGUCUGCACCCAAGCUCAAAUGAGCUAUGUUGAACCGUAAAAUCAGAAAUAUAUAUAAAAAGAUCUAGUUUCAUUAUGGUAAACUAUGACAAAUGUUCUAAGAGUUUGCAAUAUUUCAUCACAAAAUCACAUUUGGAGUUGUAGCGAAAAAACAAAAUUGAUACUCUAAAAAUGCUAUUAUCGAAAGCAUUUUAAAGCACUAAUUUUGUUUUUUCGUCAUCACUUUAAUAAAUGUGUUUUAGUGAUGAAAUUUUGAAACCUUUUAGAACAUUUAUCAUAAACAAGUUCAGCUUUUUUGAAAUAUUUUAAAUAUUUUCGGAGUUGUUAAUCUCGGCUUAUUUGAGCUGUGGUGUAGAAAGGCAUUUUUGACACGCUUGUUAUCUAUAUGACCAAAUCCUAACUGAGCUUGCUCGUAGUUGCACAAAUUUGACAUUGCUUGUGGCACUCUGUGUUCAUAUCUUCGCUCUGUUGUUCGUCAUGGAAAAAAAAUUAGGGCAAGCGUGUGAAGGCUAUGAAAAGCCACUUUGGAUUUGCAGGAAGUUUUGCGGUGGAUAAUGAAGGCUUAAGUGGUGGCAUUGGUCUUUUCUGGUCCAAAGAUGUUGAUGUGGAACUAUUUUUUUAGUACCGACCACAUUGAUGUUGUGGUGUGGAACAAGGAUCAUCUUUCUCGUGAAUGGUGUUUUACGAGUUUCUAUGGAGCUUCGAAAGUCAAUGCUAAUCUCCGUUAGAGCGGUGUGGAGGCACAAUGCUCCCCAAGAUGCCACUAAGGCCACCGUAAUAUCCUCACGCCCUCGCAGAAUGCAAGAUGCCGUGAUUCCACUAAGGGACCCUUGAGGGCGGUCACCGAACCCGUACAAAUGGCAAACCUUGGGGGCGGUCACCGAACCCGUACACGUGGCAACCCUUGGGGGCGGUUACCGGUACCCGUACAAAUUGCUCGGGGCUAUCUCCACAACCUAAUUGGAGGCCCCGACGCUUGCCUGGAGCUUCACACCACAAUGAUUGAGCUCCGAGACACCACCAAGCUUCUAGUAUGCCAAAGCAUCCACGAAGAACAAUAUCUAGGGUACUAAGUACCAAAGGUAGUAAGCUUCUCAACUUCUCACUUCCACGUAUCACCGUGGAGAACUCAAACUGAUGCAACUAACGCAAUGGCAAGAACACACAAAGUGGUCAAGUCCCUCACACUCAAAUCCCUCCACAACAACAAAAGCUAUGGAGAAAUAUGAGAGGAAGAACAAGGAGCUCACAAAGAACUCCAAGAUCUAGAUCCAAGGGGUUCCCCUCACAUAGAGGAGAAAGUGAUUGGUGGAGAUGUGGAUCUAGAUCUCCUCUCUCUUUUCCCUCAAGAACAAGCAAGAAUCAUUGGAGGGAUUGAGAGUUAGCAAGCUCUAAGAAUGUCAACAAUGGAGGUAGAACAAGAGCUCAACGGAUAGAUGAGGCCAAGGGGGAAGAAGACCCCCUUUAUAUAGUGGGGGAAGGAAUCAGACCGUUACCCCCACUAUCUGCCCGAGCUCCAGCGGUACUACCGCCAACUAGCGGUACUACCGCUGGCCCGAGCGGUACUACCGCUGGGCCCCUGGUAGUGCAAAGGCACUACCACCGCCAAGAAAGUCUUCGCAAAAAGGUCCGUCCACGAACAACCGCUAGGCAAGCGGCACUAACCUCCUGGAGCGGUACUACCGCUGACCAGUGGCGAUACUACCGCCAGCCAGCGGUACUACCGCUAGGGCCAGUGGUACUACCGCCAACUCUAGCGGUACUACCGCUAGGUCCAGCGGUACUACCGCUCGCCACUGAAACAGCCAUAACUUUCGCAUACGAGCUCCGAAUCGAGCAAACCAAGGCUUGUUGGAUUCAGGACGACAAGAGCUAUCCAAACAGCCUUUCUCAUGGCAAACAUCCUUUAGGAAGUGUACAUAGAUUUAACACUGAACCCCUUUUUUCCCUAGCAUCCACACCUUCAUCAGUCAAUGUGGUGGAGUGGCAAACAUCCAGUAGGCCUUGCCAUUGCACAGCCAAUUCCCCCCGCAAGCAUCUAUGAGAUUGGAGACAUGUCCCUUGAGAGUGAACAACUUAUAAACAAUUGACAGUUUUGCCAAAUGUAAGGUUAUAUAGACUUUUAAAUCUGGAAAUAAUAGAUGGCAUCCAUGUGAUUGGCAAUUAAAACCAUGUUUGCUUAGUUUUGAGUCCGUCUGUUCUCGGUGGUGCGAGCUCAUGCUGCAUUUUGAGAUUGUGUACAUAAGAUGGUAAGACUGUUUGUAGGAGGAACUGGCUAGAGCCAUGGAUAUCUUAAGGUGGAGAAACAAGUAAACAUCCAUGGAUACCAGCUAAGGGAAUGUAAUGGAAGAUAAUCCAUGGAUACCAGCUAAGGGAAUGUAAUGGAAGAUAAAUUCUACAUAGUUUGCCAUGGAUUUUCAGUCAUGUCCUAAGCCACAUAUACUCUAUGUGCCCCCUGGCUUUCUGUUGGGCCUUGUAUAUUUGGUUUCUGGGAAGUACCGAGUUAGAAGAAAACUGUGCUAAGUGCUUACCUAGCAUAUAUUACCAGCCAUCCUCGUUAAGUGAAGUGCCAUUUGGAACACUAUUUUGAGCCAUAAUACAGUUUUACCUAUGACAAUGACUUGUUUCUCCUAGUCACAACUCUCCAAUCUUUAGCAUGAACUAACCUUAUUUGACACUCAAGUUUAACUGUACUUCCAAGUUUUUGAAGUUGAUUCGAGAAGUUCACUCUCUCCAAUCCAGGAUGUAGGAGAGUUGGGCACAUGAUUAAUGGUGUAGGUAGCAAUGUUACCAUUUAUUUGUUUCUACAAUAAAUACAAGUGCUAGAGUUUCUUGUGGCAGCACAAUCAAUACUAGAGUUAUUACUAAUACUUGAUGAAACUAAUGAGGCGCUAAAUAAGCACACCAUGAGCAGAAAUAUGAUGUACUAAACUACCAGGCCUUAUUUGUCAGUUGAAAAGGCUAAACCACAAUUUUCCGUAUUUGCCAGUCAUUGCUACUAAAUCUCGUUAGACUAAAUUAUCAGUUCCUCUAUAUCCGCAACCCGAGCCUUCAAGUUCAAAACCUUAUCUAGUCUAGAUUAAAUAAAUAUCACAUGUCACAAAGUAAAGCGAAGCAAUUGGUCUUUCCUUGUGCUUUCUAUUAGAACAGUCUCUUUCUAUCUGUGUUCCUGUAUUAUUCAGCUGCCACAUUUUGGUUCUUUAAUUGUCAACAAGUCCAAGUUUUUCAGCCACUUUGAUGCAUUUGGAUUUAGCAAUUUCAGUUAUUACGUACACGAGUCUUUCUUGAUUAUAUUGCUUUCAAUAUGGUUAUCAUAUCUACUCACAGUCAUCUCCCUUUUGCUGAAUAGAAUUGAGAAGCUGAAGCGUGGUUUUGGUAUGCACGUCCCUGAAGAGUUUAGGUAGCUGGAUAUAAUGCGGGGUUCCUGCAUUUCUAAUAAUCAGUUUAAUCACCUCCCUCGGAGCUACCUAUUGGAGGGCAAGUUUGUGAUUUCUACUGAACUUGACAUGGACGCUUUUUAAGUAGUACUUGGAGUGUUGGUGAGCAGCAGAUGUAGCACUCAAGCUGUGAUCACAUGAUCUUGUGGUUGUACUAUUGAUGACCUUGGUCCUACUAAUUCAGUUUAUUUGCUGAAAGCUAUGUUUGGAAAUGAUGCAAUCUGCCAGGCAACAAUAAUUUCUCUGGAGCCUGUACUUAUUAGUGUUAUUGUCUUGAUGUAUUUUCUCACCACGGGAAGCCUUAGGUAUACGUACAAUUAUCGGCUUGUAAUAUGUUCCUAGUGCUAUACUUCUCUAAUAUAUUUAUAUAUGUUACUCUUGCAUCUCUUCCUAGUAUCAUAUGGUGCUCUGCUUCCGUGAGCUUGUGUAUUAGAAGUUGUUAAAUAUUGUGUAUUAGAAGUUGUUAAAUAUUGAUUGGUGGCGGCCAUGUCUGCACCCGAGCUCAAAUGAGCUAUGUUGAACCAUAAAAUCAGAAAUAUAUAUAAAAAGAUCUAGUUUCAUUAUGGUAAACUAUGACAAAUGUUCUAAGAGUUUGCAAUAUUUCAUCACAAAAUCACAUUUGGAGUUGUAGCAAAAAAACAAAAUUGAUACUCUAAAAAUGCUAUUAUCGAAAGCAUUUUAAAGCACUAAUUUUGUUUUAUUGUCAUCACUUUCAUAAAUGUGAUUUAGUGAUGAAAUUUUGAAACCUUUUAGAACAUUUAUCAUAAAAAAGUUCAGCUUUUUUGAAAUAUUUUAAAUAUUUUCGGAGUUGUUAAUCUCGGCUUAUUUGAGCUCUGGUGUAGAAAGGCAUUUUUGACACGCUUGUUAUCUAUAUGACCAAAUCCUAACUGAGCUUGCUCGUAGUUGCGCAAAUUUGACAUUGCUUGUGGCACUCUGUGUUCAUAUCUUCGCUCUGUUGUUUGUCAUGGAAAAAAAUGUUGAUGUGGAACUAUUUUUUUUAGUACCGACCACAUUGAUGUUGUGGUGUGGAAGAAGGAUCAUCUUUCUCGUGAAUGGUGUUUUACGAGUUUCUAUGGAGCUUCGAAAGUCAAUGCUAAUCUCCGUUAGAGCGGUGUGGAGGCACAAUGCUCCCCAAGAUGCCACUAAGGCCACCGUAAUCUCCUCACGCCCUCGCACAAUGCAAGAUGCUGUGAUUCCACUAAGGGACCCUUGAGGGCGGUCACCGAACCCGUACAAAUGGCAAACCUUGGGGGCGGUCACCGAACCCGUACACGUGGCAACCCUUGGGGGUGGUUACCGGUACCCGUACAAAUUGCUCGGGGCUAUCUCCACAACCUAAUUGGAGGCCCCGACGCUUGCCCGGAGCUUCACACCACAAUGAUUGAGCUCCGAGCCACCACCAAGCUUCUAGGAUGCCAAAGCAUCCACGAAGAACAAUAUCUAGGGUACUAAGUACCAAAGGUAGUAAGCUUCUCAACUUCUCACUUCCACGUAUCACCGUGGAGAACUCAAACGAAGCAACUAAUGCAAUUGCAAGAACACACGAAGUGGUCAAGUCCCUCACACUCAAAUCCCUCCACAACAAAAAAGCUAUGGAGAAAUAUGAGAGGAAGAACAAGGAGCUCACAAAGAACUCCAAGAUCUAGAUCCAAGGGGUUCCCCUCACAUAGAGGAGAAAGUGAUUGGUGGAGAUGUGGAUCUAGAUCUCCUCUCUCUUUUCCCUCAAGAACAAGCAAGAAUCAUUCGAGGGAUUGAGAGUUAGCAAGCUCUAAGAAUGUCAACAAUGGAGGUAGAACAAGAGCUCAACGGAUAGAUCAGGCCAAGGGGGAAGAAGACCCCCUUUAUAUAGUGGGGGAAGGAAUGACACCGUUACCCCCACUAUCUGCCCGAGCUCCAGCGGUACUACCGCUGAUUGCAGCGGUACUAGCGCCAGCGAGUGGUACUACCACUGGCUGCAGCGGUACUACCGCUGGCCCGAGCGGUACUACCGCUGGGCCCCUGGUAGUGCAAAGGCACUACCAUCGCCAAGAAAGUCUUCGCAAAAAGGUCCGUCCACGAACAACCGCUAGGCAGGCGGUACUAAGCUCCUGGAGCGGUACUACCGUUGACCAAUGGCGGUACUACCGCCAACCAGCGGUACUACCGCUAGGGCUAGCGGUACUACCGCCAACUCUAGCGGUACUACCGCUAGGUCCCGCGGUACUACCGCUCGACACUGAAACAACCAUAACUUUCGGAUACGAGCUCCGAAUCGAGCAAACCCAAGCUUGUUGGAUUCAGGACGACAAGAGCUAUCCAAACAGCCUUUCUCAUGGCAAACAUCCUUUAGGAAGUGUACAUAGAUUUAACACUGAACCUCUUUUUUCCCUAGCAUCCACACCUUCAUCAGUCAAUGUGGUGGAGUGGCAAACAUCCAGUAGGUCUUGCCAUUGCACAACCAAUUCCCCCCGCAAGCAUCUAUGAGAUUGGAGACAUGUCCCUUGAGAGUGAACAACUUAUAAACAAUUGACAUUUUUGCCAAAUGUAAGGUUAUAUAGACUUUGAAAUCUGGAAAUAAUAGAUGGCAUCCAUGUGAUUGGCAAUUAAAACCAUGUUUGCUUAGUUUUGAGUCCGUCUGUUCUCGGUGGUGCGAGCUGAUGCUGCAUUUUGAGAUUGUGUACAUAAGACGGUAAGACUGUUUGUAGGAGGAACUGGCUAGAGCCAUGGAUAGCUUAAGGUGGAUACCAGCUAAGGGAAUGUAAUGGAAGAUAAUCCAUGGAUACCAGCUAAGGGAAUGUAAUGGAAGAUAAAUUCUACAAAGUUUGCCAUGGAUUUUGAGUCAUGUCCUAAGCCACGUAUACUCUAUGUGCCCCCUGGCUUUCUGUUGGGCCUUGUAUAUUUGGUUUCUGGGAAGUACCGAGUUAGAAGAAAACUGUGCUAAGUGCUUAACUAGCAUAUAUUACCAGCCAUCCUCGUUAGUGAAGUGCCAUUUGGAACACUAUUUUGAGCCAUAAUACACUUUUACCUAUGACAAUGACUUGUUUCUCCUAGUCACAACUCUCCAAUCUUUAGCAUGAACUAACCUUAUUAGACACUCAACUUUAACUGUACUUCCAAGUUUUUGAAGUUGAUUCGAGAAGUUCACUCUCUCCAAUCCAAGAUGUAGGUUUCUUUUAGAGUUGGGCACAGGAUUAAUAGUGUAGGUAGCAAUGUUACCAUUUAUUUGUUUCUACAAUAAAUACAAGUGCUAGAGUUUCUUUUGGCAGCACAAUCAAUACUAGAGUUAUUACUAAUACUCGAUGAAACUAAUGAGGCGCUAAAUAAGCACACCAUGAGCAGAAAUGUGAUGUACUACAGUACUAGGCCUUAUUUGUCAGUUGAAAAGGCUAAACCACAAUUUUCCGUAUUUCCCAGUCAUUGCUGCUAAAUCUCGUUAGACUAAAUUAUCAGUUCCUCUAUAUCCGCAACCCCAGCCUUCAAGUUCUAAACCUUAUCUAGUCUAGAUUAAAUGAAUAUCACAUGUCACAAAGUAAAGCGAAGCAAUUGGUCUUUCCUUGUGCUUUCUAUUGGAACAGUCUCUUUCUAUCUGUGUUCCUGUAUUAUUCAGCUGCCACAUUUUGGUUCUUUAAUUGUCAACAAGUCCAAGUUUUUGCAGCCACUUUGAUGCAUUUGGAUUUAGCAAUUUCAGUUAUUACGUACACGAGUCUUUCUUGAUUAUAUUGCUUUCAAUAUGGUUAUCAUAUCUACUCACAGUCAACUCCCUUUUGCUGAAUAGAAUUGAGAAGCUGAAACGUGGUUUUGGUAUGCACAUCCCUGAAGAGUUUAGGUAGCUGGAUAUAAUGCGGGGUUACUGCAUUUCUAAUAAUCAGUUUAAUCACCUCCCUCGGAGCUAGCUAUUGGAGGGCAAGUUUGUGAUUUCUGCUGAACUUGACAUGGACGCUUUUUAAGUAGUACUUGGAGUGUUGGUGAGCAGCAGAUGUAGCACUCAAGCUGUGAUCACAUGAUCUUGUGGUUGUACUAUUGAUGACCUUGGUCCUACUAAUUCAGUUUAUUUGCUGAAAGCUAUGUUUGGAAAUGAUGCAAUCUGCCAGGCAACACUAAUUUCUCUGCAGCCUGUACUUAUGAGUGUUAUUGUCUUGAUGUAUUUUCUCACCACGGGAAGCCUUAGGUAUACGUAAAAUUAUCGUCUUGUAAUAUGUUCCUAGUGCUAUACUUCUCUAAUAUAUUUAUAUAUGUAAAUAUAUAUGUUACUCUUGUAUCAUCUCUUCCUAGUAUCAUAUGGUG